GCCGAAGUGGUGGAAUUGGUAGACACGCGGGAUUCAAAAUCCCGUUCUGGCAACAGAGUGUGGGUUCAAGUCCCACCUUCGGCACCA
rnacentral:tRNA from 1 species